GACGAACGCUGGCGGCGUGCUUAACACAUGCAAGUCGAACGGAAAGGCCCUGCUUUUGUGGGGUGCUCGAGUGGCGAACGGGUGAGUAACACGUGAGUAACCUGCCCUUGACUUUGGGAUAACUUCAGGAAACUGGGGCUAAUACCGGAUAGGAGCUCCUGCUGCAUGGUGGGGGUUGGAAAGUUUCGGCGGUUGGGGAUGGACUCGCGGCUUAUCAGCUUGUUGGUGGGGUAGUGGCUUACCAAGGCUUUGACGGGUAGCCGGCCUGAGAGGGUGACCGGCCACAUUGGGACUGAGAUACGGCCCAGACUCCUACGGGAGGCAGCAGUGGGGAAUAUUGCACAAUGGGCGGAAGCCUGAUGCAGCAACGCCGCGUGCGGGAUGACGGCCUUCGGGUUGUAAACCGCUUUCGCCCGUGACGAAGCGUGAGUGACGGUAAUGGGUAAAGAAGCACCGGCUAACUACGUGCCAGCAGCCGCGGUGAUACGUAGGGUGCGAGCGUUGUCCGGAUUUAUUGGGCGUAAAGGGCUCGUAGGUGGUUGAUCGCGUCGGAAGUGUAAUCUUGGGGCUUAACCCUGAGCGUGCUUUCGAUACGGGUUGACUUGAGGAAGGUAGGGGAGAAUGGAAUUCCUGGUGGAGCGGUGGAAUGCGCAGAUAUCAGGAGGAACACCAGUGGCGAAGGCGGUUCUCUGGGCCUUUCCUGACGCUGAGGAGCGAAAGCGUGGGGAGCGAACAGGCUUAGAUACCCUGGUAGUCCACGCUGUAAACGGUGGGUACUAGGUGUGGGGUCCAUUCCACGGGUUCCGUGCCGUAGCUAACGCUUUAAGUACCCCGCCUGGGGAGUACGGCCGCAAGGCUAAAACUCAAAGGAAUUGACGGGGCCCCGCACAAGCGGCGGAGCAUGCGGAUUAAUUCGAUGCAACGCGUAGAACCUUACCCGGGUUUGACAUGGAUCGGGAGUGCUCAGAGAUGGGUGUGCCUCUUUUGGGGUCGGUUCACAGGUGGUGCAUGGCUGUCAUCAGCUCGUGUUGUGAGAUGUUGGGUUAAGUCCCGCAACGAGCGCAACCCUUGUUCACUGUUGCCAGCACGUUAUGGUGGGGACUCAGUGGAGACCGCCGGGGUCAACUCGGAGGAAGGCGGGGAUGACGUCAAGUCAUCAUGCCCCUUAUGUCCAGGGCUUCACGCAUGCUACAAUGGCUGGUACAGAGAGUGGCGAGCCUGUGAGGGUGAGCGAAUCUCGGAAAGCCGGUCUCAGUUCGGAUUGGGGUCUGCAACUCGACCUCAUGAAGUCGGAGUCGCUAGUAAUCGCAGAUCAGCAACGCUGCGGUGAAAACGUUCCCGGG
rnacentral:rRNA from 1 species